rnacentral:tRNA from 1 species
AGGGGCGUAGUUCAUUGGUAGAGCACCGGUCUCCAAAACCGGGUGUUGGGAGUUCGAGUCUCUCCGCCCCUGCCA